rnacentral:sRNA from 1 species
CAGCAAACGCAGCGGUAUUCCAAAUCUGUUUAAAAAACGAUCAGCAUUCGCUGGACGCCACGCCGCCCUGGUCAAUAAUCCAUUCACCGGAUGCGGCGUUUUCCCCCGAACGUCGAACGGCCAGGCGCCGUGGACCGCGCGUCCUGAUGCAACUCCUAAAUGGUCUUGACCCGGAUUCACCCCCAGAACCCGG